rnacentral:rRNA from 1 species
GACGAACGCUGGCGGCGUGCUUAACACAUGCAAGUCGAACGGUAAGGCCCUUCGGGGUACACGAGUGGCGAACGGGUGAGUAACACGUGGGUGAUCUGCCCUGCACUUUGGGAUAAGCCUGGGAAACUGGGUCUAAUACCGGAUAGGACCAUGGACUUCACGGUUUGUGGUGGAAAGCUUUUGCGGUGUGGGAUGGGCCCGCGGCCUAUCAGCUUGUUGGUGGGGUAAUGGCCUACCAAGGCGACGACGGGUAGCCGGCCUGAGAGGGUGUCCGGCCAGACUGGGACUGGGAUACGGCCCAGACUCCUACGGGAGGCAGCAGUGGGGAAUAUUGCACAAUGGGCGCAAGCCUGAUGCAGCGACGCCGCGUGGGGGAUGACGGCCUUCGGGUUGUAAACCUCUUUCAGUAGGGACGAAGCGCAAGUGACGGUACCUACAGAAGAAGCACCGGCCAACUACGUGCCAGCAGCCGCCGUAA